rnacentral:rRNA from 1 species
GAUGAACUCUAGCGGCAGGCCUAACACAUGUAAGUCGAGGGGUAGAGGAAGCUUGCUUCCUUGAGACCGGCGCACGGGUGCGUAACGCGUAUGCAAUCUACCUUGUACAGAGGGAUAGCCCAGAGAAAUUUGGAUUAAUACCUUAUAGUAUUAUUGAAUGGCAUCAUUUAAUAAUUAAAGUUCCAACGGUACAAGAUGAGCAUGCGUCCUAUUAGCUAGUUGGUGUGGUAACGGCGUACCAAGGCUACGAUAGGUAGGGGUCCUGAGAGGGAGAUCCCCCACACUGGUACUGAGACACGGACCAGACUCCUACGGGAGGCAGCAGUGAGGAAUAUUGGACAAUGGGCGCAAGCCUGAUCCAGCCAUGCCGCGUGCAGGAAGACGCAUCUAUGGUGUGUAAACUGCUUUUGUACGGGAAGAAACACUCCCUCGUGAGGGAGCUUGACGGUACCGUAAGAAUAAGGAUCGGCUAACUCCGUGCCAGCCGCCGCCGUAAAAC